rnacentral:rRNA from 1 species
ACCUUGGCCGAGAGGCCUGGGCAAUCUUGUUAACGUGCAUCGUGAUAGGGAUAGAUUAUUGNAAUUAUUAAUCUUGAACGAGGAAUUCCUAGUAAACGCAGAUCAUCAAUCUGCAUUGAUUA